rnacentral:rRNA from 1 species
GAUGAACGCUGGCGGCGUGCCUAACACAUGCAAGUCGAGCGAAGCGAUUUAGCGGAAGUUUUCGGAUGGAAGUUAAAUUAGACUGAGCGGCGGACGGGUGAGUAACGCGUGGUAACCGUGCUCAUACAGGGGAGUAACAGUUAGAAAUAGACUGCUAAUACCGCAUAAGCGCACAGCAUCGCAUGAUGCAGUGUGAAAAACUACCGGUGGUAUGAGAUGGACCCGCGUCUGAUUAGCUAGUUGGUGAGGUAAAGGCCCACCAAGGCGACGAUCAGUAGCCGACCUGAGAGGGUGAUCGGCCACAUUGGGACUGAGACACGGCCCAA